UAAUACCGCAUACGAUCUACGGAAGAAAGCGGGGGAUCUUCGGACCUCGCGCUAUAGGGGCGGCCGAUGGCAGAUUAGCUAGUUGGUGGGGUAAAGGCCUACCAAGGCGACGAUCUGUAGCUGGUCUGAGAGGACGACCAGCCACACUGGGACUGAGACACGGCCCAGACUCCUACGGGAGGCAGCAGUGGGGAAUUUUGGACAAUGGGGGAAACCCUGAUCCAGCAAUGCCGCGUGUGUGAAGAAGGCCUUCGGGUUGUAAAGCACUUUUGUCCGGAAAGAAAACUUCNNGCCUAAUACCNGGGGAGGAUGACGGUACCGGAAGAAUAAGCACCGGCUAACUACGUGCCAGCAGCCGCGGUAAUACGUAGGGUGCGAGCGUUAAUCGGAAUUACUGGGCGUAAAGCGUGCGCAGGCGGUUUGUUAAGACAGAUGUGAAAUCCCCGGGCUUAACCUGGGAACUGCAUUUGUGACUG
rnacentral:rRNA from 1 species